rnacentral:rRNA from 1 species
UAGGGAAUCUUCGGCAAUGGACGAAAGUCUGACCGAGCAACGCCGCGUGAGUGAAGAAGGUUUUCGGAUCGUAAAACUCUGUUGUUAGAGAAGAACAAGGACGUUAGUAACGGAACGUCCCCUGACGGUAUCUAACAAGAAAGCCACGGCUAACUACGUGCCAGCAGCCGCGGUAAUACGUAGGUGGCAAGCGUUGUCCGGAUUUAUUGGGCGUAAAGCGAGCGCAGGCGGUUUCUUAAGUCUGAUGUGAAAGCCCCCGGCUCAACCGGGGAGGGUCAUUGGAAACUGGGAGACUUGAGUGCAGAAGAGGAGAGUGGAAUUCCAUGUGUAGCGGUGAAAUGCGUAGAUAUAUGGAGGAACACCAGUGGCGAAGGCGGCUCUCUGGUCUGUAACUGACGCUGAGGCUCGAAAGCGUGGGGAGCAAACAGG